UACGUAGGUUGCAAGCGUUGUCCGGAUUUACUGGGUGUAAAGGGCGUGUAGGCGGAGGAGCAAGUCAGAUGUGAAAUCCCGGGGCUUAACCCCGGAACUGCAUUUGAAACUGUUUCCCUUGAGUAUCGGAGAGGCAAGCGGAAUUCCUAGUGUAGCGGUGAAAUGCGUAGAUAUUAGGAGGAACACCAGUGGCGAAGGCGGCUUGCUGGACGACAACUGACGCUGAGGCGCGAAAGCGUGGGGAGCAAACAGG
rnacentral:rRNA from 1 species